AGUCCUACGGCUGACUUCACUGUUGACAGUCACGCCAGCCAACUUCACUCUGUAGUUCUUUCCAGUAUUCGUUUCCUUGACGAUCCUUGCCACAUGGCAGAAAGAGGGGUGGCUAGCGUCACUUUAGAAACGAACCCCUUACGCAGUUGGGCCCCAAGUAUUCAACGACACUUCCAAAGAUACUUUAAACAAGACCUUCGACAGACUUCAGGAACUCAGUGGGAAAAGAAAAGGAAAAGGAAAAUUGUUAAAAAGUGAGAAAACCCGAAAAAAGAGAAAACAAGAGUGAGAGCCUCGUUACGCAAUUAAUCCCAAGUGAAUCCUCGAGAAGUCUCGUUCGUUUCCGCAUCGAACGAUGCAAAAGUAAAUAUGUAAAGGAGUAAAUAUGGGAAGCAUCGACUGAGGAAGUAACAAUGAAAAGAGCGUGGCCACGUGCUGGCCAGAUGUCAGUGAAGUCCGUGUUAUUUUGUUUAUUCCUAAGGAGAAGAGAUAUCCAUGAAUAUUUCAUCCAGCACUCGGUACGUACCGGGUGCACGUAUUUCAAACGGAUUUGCCAGAACGUGCUUUUUUCACGGUUCUUUAUAGCCCGCAGAGUACGGACUCGGAAAUAAGGCCUCGGCAUUGGCGUAGACCAUAACAAUGGAACUGGCCGUGUGCAACAUGUGUUGCCGUCGCUUGCUUCGUUGCUGGGUCCGCUCGAGUCGUACACAAAUGCGAGAAGCAAGCGUGGACUGGUGAAUGGGCCAGACUGGGACUGGAGUAGCUCUAGAGGGACCAGCUGCGUGGGACUUCUCUAGAACGCCUCUUGGAUUUCAUUGGCUUACCCAUUGUUAAAAAAAUUAUUGCGAUGCAUACGCCAAUGAAAUAUUUAUUGCUGUCCCAGCACAGCUUCUCUCGCUUAUUUGUACAAAUAUAAGCACGAAGAUGGAGUAUUCCGACUAUAUAUUAAAAAACUAACGGAGGCAUCCAACGAGAAUGGCGACCAAUCCUCUUCCUUAGCGAGGUCUUCGUCGACGAUCCAGUCCCUUUCUAGCCUCUUAUUAACCUAAACUAUCUAUGACUAUACAGCCGUAGCUAAUACUACUCGAGUAUAGUCAGUAACGGAAUGCAUUAUGCCCAUUGUAAUACGUGCUACGGUCUACAGUAACCACUGUAACGGGCUAUUUCGUUCUACUAGAUCAGAAUCGAUAGCGUGCUGGAUUGUAGAUUUGCCAUUUCUCGAAUUUACUAAUAUACUUUUCCAAUGCUAUUUCAUUAACGUGAAUACAGUCGCUUUGACUUUCAAAAUCAUUUUCAUAAUACGCUCAGAACGCAGUGCCGACCAUGUUACGUAUUAUCCACGACGCAGGGGACUCUCGAUAAUUCAACGGAACAGGGCGAAAAAAAUCAAUAGUACAUCCACCCCUGUGCAGGGCCUUAGCUCAUAUACGGAAGAGUCUUUUAUAUGAAUAGGGCACAGGAAGCAGUCGGAUUGUCUAAUGUGACGAUAACGCUGAGAAGAUACGUCCUAUUACGUAGUAUAGAUCUUUGAUAUAAACUUAUUAUCGACUCGUCGAGACGAUAUAGUGUGAUUGAUUAUCGAUAUUACUUUAGAUUAUUAAAAUUAAUAAAACUAUUGAGACUCCAUAGGGGAAUGUUGUCCGAGACGGUAUACCGAAUAGGUAAGAUUUAUGCCGUCUCAGAUAUCUCUCUACCGACUAUUUAAAUUCUACGAAUUCACGUUAUUCGUAUUCUUAUUAAUGACGUAGAUAUUUUUUUCCUUAUCCCGACGCCAUAUUAUUUUUCCUUCAAGUUUCAUUGCCGUGAGGCGAAUGUAGAAAAUUUAAACUGAAAAUACGUUAGACAAGCAUUUCGACUGUUUUAUUCACAUUGACGAUGCAAAAAAAUGUAUAAUGUGCCAUUGCUUCAAAUUCAAUUUGAAAUUAUCUCGGUUUUUUUUUUCUGCGGGCAGGAAAUCAAAUGAUAACAAUAAUGGCACAUCCUGCCUUCUUUGAUAAGUAAGUUUGUGGUAUUGUAAAAAUUUGAUAUUCUUAAAUAAUUUUUUCUCUAAUCUUUGCUCUUCGCUGCUAAAUCCGAUGGGAAUUUCUGUUUUGUCAUUUUUGUCCUUUUCACGCGAGUGAAAGCUUCGCGGAUGCAACGGGGCGACGCGUUCACCGAUAUACAAAAUAUAUGUAUAUUAUACAAUCGCUCGUCCACGCAUACACAUAUUUAUCAAACUAUUAAAAAGAAAGUCCCGAUGAAACUUCUUUAUGAAAUUAUAUUGAACGACCUUAUUGAUCUCGGCCUGCUUUCGACAUAUCAUAAUGUACAGCCUCAUCGAACUAAAAUGGCCUCUACGUACAUUAUGCAUAUCAAUAUUAAUUUCAGUACUAAGAAAUAUGUAAUAAGACACUACUACUCACGGUGGAUACUAAAUCCUAUCGCCACUUCCAUAAAUACGAUAACAUUCAUUGUUUCAUUGCGCAAUGUCCUACGAGGAUGCUUUUACAAUCAUAAAGAUGAAGUUGACAAUGGAAACAAGAUUAGAUUACGAAUAAAAUUUACGGAUUCUUAGAAAUUAAAAAAAAGUUUGAUAGUCAAUCGUGCGAGGUAUUUUGUAAAUUAAGACUCAUUCGUAUCCGGAAGCAUGAAACAUCGAUUUAUCACACCGGUUUGGCAAGCAUCCCGUUAUCAUGUAUUAAAGUCUGUUUGAUUUUCGUAUCUGUCUUGAAUACCGACUGUUACCUAUACAUAGUUAUGUAUUCUAUAUACACACAGUUAGUUGAUAUAAUCAUGCUUAUAUUUAUUUUUAAUUGUAUCAGCUAUCACGGAAGAUCAAAUCAUUAAUUUUGAUUUGUCAAAGGUUCGGGAAUGUCUGAUGUUGAAAGUGUAUGAUGAUAAACUAAGAGUAAAAGACUGAAGAAUAAAAGAAUAUUUCAUAAUUAACAAAA